UUAACAACCGGAAAGAAAAAAAGAUAAAUAUUGUUUUGGUAUCAAGAGGAAGACGGAGAAUUCGGUAAUCCAAAUCACCGUCCGUCCAGAACACACUUCCGGGCUAGAUCUCUGCAGAGCACACAUAUGAUAUAUGAUGGAUGGAUGGACCAUCGAGACUUAAACAUCUUAUAUCCUAAAUGAAUCAUACCUCCCAAGUCAGUUGAGGAGAAUGAAGCCUUUCUCUACGAAGAAGAC